GAUGAAGAACGUAGUGAAAUGCGAUACGUAAUGUGAAUUGCAGAAUUCAGUGAAUCAUCGAGUCUUUGAACGCACAUUGCGCCCCCUGGUAUUCCGGGGGGCAUGCCUGUCCGAGCGUCAUUGCUGCCCUCAAGCACGGCUUGUGUGUUGGGCCUCCGUCCUCCUCCCGGGGGACGGGGCCGAAAGGCAGCGGCGGCACCGCGUCCGGUCCUCGAGCGUAUGGGGCUUCGUCACCCGCUCUUGUAGGCCCGGCCGGCGCUUGCCGACACAUCAAUCUUUUUUCCAGGUUGACCUCGGAUCAGGUAGGGAUACCCGCUGAACUUAAGCAUAUCAAUAAGCGGAGGA
rnacentral:misc_RNA from 1 species